UACGUAGGUGGCUAGCGUUGUCCGGAUUUACUGGGCGUAAAGAGCGCGCAGGCGGUCGUUCAAGUCGAGUGUGAAAGCCCCCCGGCUCAACUGGGGAGGGUCACUCGAUACUGAUCGACUUGAAGGCGGGAGAGGGAAGCGGAAUUCCCGGUGUAGUGGUGAAAUGCGUAGAUAUCGGGAGGAACACCAGUGGCGAAGGCGGCUUUCUCGGCCGUUC
rnacentral:rRNA from 1 species